AUGUGGUCCUUUUGUGACCUUCUCGUCGACAAAUGCUGCAGAAUCUGGUUCGUUUACUUAACCCUUCGUAUGGGGCUCUCUCUCUCUGCUGUUUGUCGGCCUUCCAGCACCUCUACGCUUGUCCGGGGCUGCAAGACCAUGCAAUCCAUUCACACUAGCAGAAUGCUCAGCACCGUGCAUUGUCCAUCUCCUCCUUCCACAUUUGCAAUGUCCAUGGUGCCAUGUAGCCUUGCACCCGUUGUUUCAACCAACCGGUCCUCAAAUGCCAAACCAUCCCUUUUCUCCGCCAACGGGGCUCCACUCAGCAGCAGAGCGCCGAGACCUGCAUUCACAUGGUCAUAA
rnacentral:rRNA from 1 species